rnacentral:rRNA from 1 species
GAUGAACGCUGGCGGCGUGCCUAACACAUGCAAGUCGAACGGAACUUGCAGAAUGAAGUUCUUCGGAACGGAAGACUGUAAGUUUAGUGGCGGACGGGUGAGUAACGCGUGAGUAACCUGCCUUUGAGAGGGGAAUAACUUCCCGAAAGGGAUGCUAAUACCGCAUAACACAUAUUUGUCGCAUGGUAGAUAUGUCAAAGAUUUUAUCGCUCAAAGAUGGACUCGCGUCCGAUUAGCCAGUUGGCGGGGUAACGGCCCACCAAAGCAACGAUCGGUAGCCGGACUGAGAGGCUGAACGGCCACAUUGGGACUGAGACACGGCCCAGACUCCUACGGGAGGCAGCAGUGGGGGAUAUUGCGCAAUGGGGGCAACCCUGACGCAGCAACGCCGCGUGAAGGAAGACGGUCUUCGGAUUGUAAACCUUGUCCUUGGUGACGAAAGAAUGACGGUAGCCGAGGAGGAAGCCACGGCUAACUACGUG